CCAUCACUAUUUUCUUCUUUUUCCUUCAAAGAGAAGUCAUGCCUGCUGGGAACAAUCCUGCAUAAGAUAUUGUGUUGGACUGGCUCGUUUUCAGGGCGAUGCUGGUUGGAAGACGGGCAGGAGAAUUGCCAUCCGAAUUUAUAAGCCCAUCCCUUGCAUCACCAGGGGGGCAGCAGGGAGAAGAAGAAUGAUGACGAGCUAGCUAGCCAUCGUAUAAUAGUGAUAGAAGUAUUCGCAAAAAAAAAAGAAAAGAAAGAAAAAAAAAAAAGAAGGAGGUGAUAGACGAGCAGAUCAGUUGAGUAUGCAUCAUAUUGAGCCACCCAUGAUAUGUGGCAUUUAUCACGGGGCCUCUCCGUGGCAUUCAUGAAUGGUUUAAUUUGGAACUGCAAGGGGUUCUUGCACCAAA
rnacentral:lncRNA from 1 species